rnacentral:ncRNA from 1 species
AGGGUCGUGGGAGAUGACCACGUCGAUAGGCUGCAGGUGUAAAGCCGGCAACGGCAUAGCCGAGCAGUACUAAUUACCCGUAGAUUUAUGGCCU